UACGGGGGGUGCGAGCGUUGUCCGGAAUCACUGGGCGUAAAGCGCACGUAGGCGGAUUGUUAAGUCAGGGGUGAAAUCCUGGAGCUCAACUCCAGAACUGCCUUUGAUACUGGCGAUCUUGAGUCCGGGAGAGGUGAGUGGAACUCCGAGUGUAGAGGUGAAAUUCGUAGAUAUUCGGAAGAACACCAGUGGCGAAGGCGGCUCACUGGCCCGGUACUGACGCUGAUGUGCGAAAGCGUGGGGAGCAAACAGG
rnacentral:rRNA from 1 species